rnacentral:rRNA from 1 species
AAGGCUUAAAUGUUAAUAAUAGACGAGAAGACCCUAUAGAUCUUUAUUUAAUUAAUAUUUUAAUAAUUUAGGAUUAUUUUAAUUUAAAAUUUUAAUUAAAUUUUAUUGGGGUAAUAUAAAGAUUUAAUUAAUUCUUUUUAUUAAUUACAUUAAUUUAUGAAUAAAUGAUCCAAUACUAUUGAUUAUAAGAUUAAGUUACCUUAGGGAUAACAGCGUAAUUUUUUUGGAGAGCUCAUAUCGAUAAAAAAGU